rnacentral:rRNA from 1 species
UACGGGGGGGGCAAGCGUUGUUCGGAAUUACUGGGCGUAAAGGGCUCGUAGGCGGCCCAAUAAGUCAGGCGUGAAAUCCCUCGGCUUAACCGGGGAACUGCGUCUGAUACUGGAUGGCUAGAGUUUGGGAGAGGGAUGCGGAAUUCCAGGUGUAGCGGUGAAAUGCGUAGAUAUCUGGAGGAACACCGGUGGCGAAGGCGGCAUCCUGGACCAACACUGACGCUGAGGAGCGAAAGCCAGGGGAGCAAACGGG